CCCCUCUCAGGGUCGCACCUGGAGAGUUUCCAGUACUCUACGAGCCUUGGCUAUGGGAGGGAGAGUCAAGCAGAGGCCUACCAAUUCCAUUCCUAGCUUGAACAUUGGCUAGCGAGUGGAAAGCAAUCUGCUACGAGU